GACGAACGCUGGCGGCGUGCCUAAUACAUGCAAGUCGAACGCACAGUUUAUACCGUAGCUUGCUACACCAUAGACUGUGAGUUGCGAAUGGGUGAGUAACGCGUAGGUAACCUGCCUGGUAGCGGGGGAUAACUAUUGGAAACGAUAGCUAAUACCUCUUAAUAUUGAUUAUUGCAUGAUAAUUAAUUGAAAGGUGCAAUUGCACCACUACCAGCUGGACCUGGUUUGUAUUAGCUAGUAGGUAAGGUAACGGUUCACUAAGGCAACGAUACAUCGCCGACCGGGAGGGUGGUUGGCCAAACUGGGAACUGAGACAGGGCCCAGACUCUACGGGGGGCAGCAGUAGGGAAUCUUCCGGAAUGGGGGAAAGUCUGAACGGGCAACGCCGGGUGGGGGAAGAAGGGUUUCGGGUCGUAAAGCUCUGUUGUAAGAGAAGAAAGGGUUUGAUAGUGGAAAGUUCACACUGUGACGGUAUCUUAUCAGAAAGCGACGGCUAACUACGUG
rnacentral:rRNA from 1 species